rnacentral:rRNA from 1 species
GACGAACGCUGGCGGCGUGCCUAAUACAUGCAAGUAGGACGCAGUUGCGAACGGGUGAGUAACGCGUAGGUAACUGCCUAUUAGAGGGGGAUAACUAUUGGAAACGAUAGCUAAUACCGCAUACUAGUAGAUGGACCUGCGUUGUAUUAGCUAGUAGGUAGGGUAAUGGCCUACCUAGGCGAGGAUACAUAGCCGACCUGGGAGGGUGAACUGGCACCCUUGGACUGAGAAACGGCCCAGAAUCCUACGGGAGGCAGCAGUAGGGGAUCUUCGGCAAUGGGGGGAAACCUGGCCGAGCAACGCCGCGUGAGUGAAGGAGGUUUUCGGGUCGUAAAGCUCUGUUGUUAAGGAAGCGGUACUUAACCAGAAAGGGACGGCUAACUACGUGCCAGCAGCCGCGGUAAUAC